rnacentral:rRNA from 1 species
UAAAACGUAGGACACAAGCGUUAUCCGGAAUUACUGGGCGUAAAGGGAGUGCAGGCGGUUGCGUAAGUUAGGCGUGAAAGACUUCGGCUAAACCGGGGGAGGUCGUCUGAUACUGCGUAACUAGAGUAUGGUAGAGGCGUGUAGAAUUCCGGGUGUAGUGGUGAAAUGCGUAGAGAUCCGGAGGAAUACCAGUGGCGAAGGCGGCACGCUGGGCCAUUACUGACGCUAAGACUCGAAAGCAUGGGUAGCGAACGGGAUUAGAAACCCCGGUAGUCCAUGCCGUAAACGAUGUACACUGGGUGUUCAGUCGGGGAAGCCUGACGGGGUGCCCAAGCUAACGCGCUAAGUGUACCGCCUGGGGAGUACGGUCGCAAGGCUA